GUCGAACGCUGGCGGCGUGCCUAAUACAUGCAAGUAGAACGCCGUUGCGAACGGGUGAGUAACGCGUAGGUAACUGCCUCAUAGCGGGGGAUAACUAUUGGAAACGAUAGCUAAUACCGCAUACUGUGAGAUGGACCUGCGUUGUUUUAGCUAGUUGGUGGGGUAAAGGGUCACCAAGGCGACGAUACAUAGCCGACCUGGGAGGGGGGUCGGCCCAACUGGGACUGGGAACCGGCCCCUAGUCCUACGGGAAGCAGCAGUAGGGAACCUUCGGCAAUGGACGGAAGACUGACCGAGCAACGGUGCGUGGGUGAAGGAGGGUUUCGGAUCGUAAAGGUAUGUUGUUCGAGAAGCGGCAACUAACCAGAAAGGGACGGCUAACUACGUGCCAGCAGCCGCGGUAAUAC
rnacentral:rRNA from 1 species